AUUGAACGCUGGCGGCAUGCCUUACACAUGCAAGUCGAACGGCAGCACGGGUGCUUGCACCUGGUGGCGAGUGGCGAACGGGUGAGUAAUACAUCGGAACGUACCUUAUCGUGGGGGAUAACGCAGCGAAAGCUGUGCUAAUACCGCAUGCGCCCUGAGGGGGAAAGCGGGGGAUCGCAACACCUCCCGCGCAUAGAGCGGCCGAUGCCUGAUUAGCUUGUUGGUGGGGUAAAAGCCCACCAAGGCGACGAUCAGUAGCUGGUGUGAGAGGACGAUCAGCCACACUGGGACUGAGACACGGCCCAGACUCCUACGGGAGGCAGCAGUGGGGAAUUUUGGACAAUGGGGGCAACCCUGAUCCAGCAAUGCCGCGUGAGUGAAGAAGGCCUUCGGGUUGUAAAGCUCUUUUGUCAGGGAAGAAACACCGGCUCUAACACAGUCCGGGAAUGACGGUACCUGAAGAAUAAGCACCGGCUAACUACGUGCCAGCCGCCGCGGUAA
rnacentral:rRNA from 1 species